CUGAAAAAUAUAAUUUCCCAGGAGUCAUAGGAUGCAUUGAUUGCACUCAUGUAGCCAUUUUCCCCCCAAAAAUUGAUGAAUAUGUUUUUGUCAAUAGGAAAGGAUAUCAUUCCAUUAAUGUUCAAUUAAUAUGUGGGGCAAAUCUAGAAAUUUUAAAUGUUAUUGCUAAGUAUCCUGGAAGUUCACAUGAUUCAUUUAUAUGGAAUAAUAGUGAUAUUCAGAAUGUACUUAGAAAUAUCCAUCAGGCUGGAAUGUAUGGAUAUUAUUUAUUAGGCAAUAUGUGCAAGAUGAAAAAUAAAUUAAAUAAACUAAAAUUAAAUAUUAUAUAAAUAUUAAUAUUAUUUAUAUUAAAUUGUAGGUGAUUCUGGAUACCCUUUAAGGCCUUGGCUUAUGACUCCUUUGGAACAUGAACCUGCUAUGAAUACUCCAGAACAUCACUAUAAUAAAGCCCAUAAGAGGGUUCGUAGCAUUAUAGAACGAUGUAAUGGAUUAUUUAAAGCAAGGUUUAGAUGUUGUCGGAAGGAUAGAAUCCUUCAUUAUGCACCUGAAAUGGCAUGCAAAAUUAUAAAUGCAUGUGUUGUUUUACACAACAUUUGUAUUAAAAAUAAUUUGAUUUUGCCAGAAGAUGAAAAUGAAGAUGAUCAUGCGGAUGAUGAAAUAGUAGGAAUAAAUCCUGAACUGGCAGCUGGUAAAGCAACCCGUAACCGCUUAAUUACAGCUCGAUUUCAAACAAAUUAAAGAGCA